rnacentral:rRNA from 1 species
UACGAAGGGUGCAAGCGUUAUUCGGAAUUACUGGGCGUAAAGCGUGCGUAGGCGGUUUGUUAAGUCCGCUGUGAAAGCCCUGGGCUCAACCUGGGAAUUGCAGUGGAUACUGGCAAGCUAGAGUGCGGUAGAGGAUGGUGGAAUUCCCGGUGUAGCGGUGAAAUGCGUAGAGAUCGGGAGGAACACCCGUGGCGAAGGCGGCCAGCUGGACCAGCACUGACGCUGAGGCACGAAAGCGUGGGGAGUAAACAGG